GCCCGCGUCGCAUAACCUGGUAUUGCGCCGGUCUCGAAAACCGGUUUCGUUACGAUAUGUCGGUUCAAAUCCGGCCGCGGGCG
rnacentral:tRNA from 1 species